rnacentral:lncRNA from 1 species
AAGCGCUCAAUACACACUGACCGGAACCUAAAAUAUGGCGCAAAUGAACCUGUCUGCCAAACAGAAGCAGACUUUCAGACAUAGAGAACAGAUGUGUGGUUGCCAAGGGGGAGGCGGAGGGAGUGGGAUGGACGGGGAGUCUGGGGUUCAUAGAUGCAAACUGUUGCAUUUAGGAGGGACAAGCAGUGAGGUCCUGCUGUACAGCACAGGGAACUCGAUCCAGCCUCUUGGGAUAGAACAUGAUGGAAGAUAAUAUGAGAAAAAGACUGUAUAUAUACAUAUGUAUAUGUCACUUAGAGCAGCAGAAAUUGGCACAACAUUGUCUACCAACUACACCUUGAUUAAAAUUAAAAAAAUAAACAAAUGAAGACGGGCUGGCUGAGCCACCCAAAUUCAAGGACCGCGGGGUCAGGGUGCACCAGCACCAAGGUCCUGAUGCACCGAGGAUUAGCUGCGUGACCAUCGGAGCCUCGGUCAGCCUCUCUGAGAGUCUCCGGUUCCUCAUGAUGAGAGCUGAUCGCCCCAGCGCCUAGGGAUUCUGCGAGAAUCCAAUUAGCUGAUGUAGAUGAAAGCACUUGGUAAGCUUUCAAGAGCUAUGGAAAUGUUAUUAACGUUAUUAGCCAAAGACAAUAGUCACCAUAAGAGAUCCCAGCCUGAAAUGCUUAUAGAUAAUGGAGUAGCAUUUACACUGUAAGAGGGGCUGUAAGCAUAACGUGAAGCAUUCUGUUCAGAUCUUAGGAAAUCAGCUACCGAGCCAUUGAGGAAUUAACCGUCUCAAGUGUCCAAAGGGUCACAAACCGGUGAGGAGAGGGAGGGAAGACCCCAGCACAGGGGGUUGGCCAAGAUCCUUGGCUGGGAGUUCUCCUUCCAACACUGGGAGGGCAAGGAGAACAGUCCAUUUCAGAGUCAGAGCAAAAUGAGAGUUAGCUUGCACACUUCCCUGGCUAGAUGCGGGACAGAAAGUGAAACCAUCUUGGUCUCUCUCGGACCCACCCACCCAAGCCCUGUCCAGCAGGGGACGGAGCUCUUGCACCACCUGUGACCACGCCCUGAUGCCCAUACACCCCAGGGUUUCUAGGGGAGUCUCACCUGUCCUGACCUAAGACGUAUGGAAAGAGGAGCCCCCAGCCCUCUCGUUCCCGCAGAGGCCCAGCCCCUCGCAGGUGCACAGCACAUAAGAUCUAGCGACAGAAGGCUGUUGGCCAAGAAGCAAAAAAUGUGAUGAAAAGAGAGAGGGAGGGAGGGGCAGGGAGGAAAAGAGGGGAGAGGUGAGGCUCCCGACAAACCACCCUGGAACAAGGGACAGACCGUUCCAGACGGGGCAUGGGGCUCAGCCCUCGUACUAGGAAGGUGGCUGGUUUCCUGUCACAGGGGACUUGUCUUCCAAAGGAAUGUGUGAUGACAUUGCAAUUUGUUUUUUGGGUUUGGGGUUUUUGCUUUUUGCUUUUUAGUGCUGCACCAGCGGCAUAGGGAGCUUCCUAGGCUAGGGGUUUGAAUCGGAGCUGCAGCUGCUGGCCGACACCCACAGCCCCAGCAAUGUGGAAAUCAAGCCUCAUCUGCGCUCUACACCACAGCUCCCGGCAAUGCCAGAUCCUUAACCUACUGAGCGAGACCAGGGAUCAAGCCCGCAUCCUCAUGGAUGCCAUGUCAGGCUCUUAACCUGCUGAGCCACAGCGGGAACUCCAGGUGUGUGGUUUUUGUUCCGCAUUUCAUUCUUAGACACCAGUUAUUGCUGCUGCCGCCAGGGUCACGUGUUUCGUCCUCACUGCCUCCUAUUCCGCCCACCUUCUCCUCCCCCAGGGCCCUCUUGGGGGAAGGGCCGGGGGCAAAGCAGGCUGGGUCCCAGACCGUCCCAGGUCCAGGCCCUGCCCCUAGGAUGCUGCAGCAGAGUAAGGACAUGGGGCUAUGCUGACUGUCAGGUGUAGGGGCCACCUUCUCCCCCUGUUCUGUCAGGGAGGAGGCAGCCAUUAUUUGUCCCAGCCUGGCCCCCGCUACCACCACCACCAUCUGGUUUUCUCUUUGCAGUUACUUGAAUAGUAAAUAUCCUUUUCUGGGAAAAAAAGAAAAAGAGAAAAGAAGGUAGCGCCUGACCCAGCUAUUCUGACAUCCGGACAUGACAUCUGUCCCCUGCUUAUAAAGGGAGGCCAUGUCAUCGCUGUCAUGGCCACGUUGAGCCGAAAACGCUCUUCCUCCUUCCAGCAAAUUCGCCAUGGACCAGGAGGAAGGCUUCUGGGGAACGUGCAAGGCAGCUGGCUUGGAGGAAGACGAUGGGCAGGUACAGCUCAAGGUCACGGCUGGGGUCCUGCGGGGGCAGCGCCCCUGGGGGCGGGUACACCUGGGAAGGCGUGGCCACGCUCCUGCCCCCGCUGCUCCUCAGGCCUCCUCCUUCCCGGUGGGAACACAUCCUUUCUGCAUAAGAAGUUGCGCCGUUUCCUAACGGGAAGACCGGCUCGUUGUUAUUGCUGUUGGGGAGGGGCUUGUGUGGGCGCGAGAGACAUGAUUUCUGGAUUUUCUUCUCUAAACGGCAAGCGGGGAAAACAACAGGAGUAAAUAACAUCGUUUCGCAAACACCUCACGGGGAGGCAGAGUCGUGAUGUUUAAAAGAACAUCCUGGCUCUACGCUCAAUUUAGGGUAAUCUAAUAACGAUGCGAGAGAAAUUUCUGCUCUUUCUAAUACACUCCUUGGGGGAAACGCAUCCCCGGCGAUGCCGUGAAACCCAUCAGGGCAGAAUUCUGCCGGCGCCAAGCCCACAAGGGGCCUCUCCUUCCCGCAUCCAUCUGGGGUGUUAUCCACACCUGCUCAGCCUCCCGGCCCGCAUCAGCACCACGGAAGGUAGGAGACGCGGGCCUUGCAUGGCACAGCUCACACCAUAUAUGGAGGAAGAUGAGGAGAUGCUGCAAAUGAAUAAGGAAAACGCUAGUACAGGAAGGAAGGAAGGAAGGAAGGAAAGCGGAGAUGGUGUAUGCCAGACCCCGGCGUGUCAACUCGCUCUCGAGGCCUUACCUGCAGGCUCUCCCUACCCCCCUCCCCGGCCACCUCCAGCUACCUGGCCCCUCAUGCACCGAGCACUCCUCCUCCAUCCCACUCGGGCACCUUUUCUAAAAGGACGCGGUCACCUGAACGGAUGCUGUGGGCUCGUGGUGGGUGCAAGAGGCACCCAUUCCACGCAUGGAGAGCAUCACUGUCUAAACAGCUUUCAAGAGGAAGAUUUACAGCUAGGAUUUGGAGGAUGGGUAGCCAGCCACGGUGUGAGCCCCCAAACGGGAUCCAGCCUGAGACGCUCACAGGAGCCCGGGGUGAGAGCUGGACCUGGAGGAGGUGGGUGGACCGAGACCUUGGGGAGGCCGGGGCAGGGCCAGGCCUAGCACCCAAGGGAGGCGCCUGGAGAAUAAAGGCGGAGGCCUCUCAGGACCAUGGCCGUUCGUUUAGUGCCAUCAACGCCAGGGCGCUCUUUGGUGCUGUAUAGGCUUGCUGAGGGCUAGACCUGGGGAGCAUCCUGCCCAGCUUCUUAGCCUGCCUGCCUCUCUCCCUUCCUUCAUUUCUUUCUCCUGUGCCUGAGGCAUGUGGAAGUGCCUGAGAUCAACCCUGAGCCACAGCGACCUGAGCCGCUGCAGUGACAAUGCCAGACCCUUAACCCGCUGAGCCACAAGAGCACUGCCUCUUAGCCUUUCAGAGUGGCUGUGGGACCGAGUGCGUGUGACACUGCACCUGGGUCUCCAGCACGGAGCACCCUGUCUCCACCGACAUGGUCUGGCGCGCCCCCACUGUCCCACUUCAAGCCUCUCCUUUGAGGCCUAAUUCAAAGCCGCCACCCCCCAGGCCUUUGGGCUUGGGAGCUGAGUGUCCUGAAGCAGGUUACCGAACCUUGCUGGGCAUCAAUUUACGUCUAAAACAGAGAUAAUACAAACACCUGGCUCACAGGGUUAUGGCUAGAAUCAGCAGAGCAAAGUAAUGAAUGAGUGAAUACGCACCCCCGACAAGCACAGAAGAGGCCUGGCACCGGUGGGCGUGUCAGAGGGGUCAGCAGCUCGCCCACCCUCGCCCACGGAACCUACCCCGGGGUUCGGUGCAGGAUCCUUGAGCGGGAGUACAAAGCGCACGCCAGGUCCCACAGAAGCCAGCGAGUCAGCCCCGGGACUGGCCAGGUCUUUCCGGUCCAGCCCUCAGGGCUCCGAUCCACGUGGGGCUCUGGGUGGAGCUGAGAGCAGGUGGGGGCGGGGCCUCCCAGCCAGGCUCCUCCCACGGGGGGCGGGAGGAUGGGGCGGCGCUGUCCCCGCUCCAGCAGGAGGCAGGGGCUCACCGGCAGCUUAGAAGCCCUUGAGCUUCCCAAGGAGGGGGGAGGCCGGGGUGCAGGGAACUCGGGGGUGCAGGCUCUCCCUGCCUCCCCUCCCCCGUUCUCGGGCCCUGCGUCUCCCCGUGUCCCUCCCACCUUGUCUCCGCUCGCCUCCCCCUGUGCGUACGUAUCUCUUUCCCUCCCUAUCUCUCCAUCUCUGCCACCGUGUCUCUGCAUCUCUCUCCCUGUCUGUCCCCACAUCCCUUUUUAAAAAUUAUUAUUAUUUUUUAGGGCCGCGCCCACGGCAUAUGGAGGUUCCCAGGCUAGGGGUCGAAUGGGAGCUGCAGCUGCCGGUCUACCCCACAGCGACAGCAACACCAGAUCAAGCCGAAUCAGCAACCUACACCGCAGCUCAAGGCAACGCCGGAUCCUCAACCCACUGAGCAAGACUAGGGAUCGAACCCGUGUCCUCAUGGAUACCAGUCAGGAUCUUAAUCAGCUGAGCCACAGUGGCAACUCCCUGUCCCCACAUCUCUCUGUCUUUCUCUGUCCCAUCUCUGUCCCCCUCCCCCCAUGUCUAUUUCUUUCUGUCUCUCCUUCUGUGUGUCCCUCUGUCUCUCCUGCCUUCCUUAGCUCUGUCACCGGCCCUGCAUCCCUCUCCCCCUGUCUCCCCGACGUGUGGAGAGCGGGGCAGAGCCUCCCCCGUGACCACCGACUCGGGCUUCCCUUGGAAUGUCUUCAGGCCGGUUCUCUUAGCAGCUACAAACGAGCAUGUUUUGCCAAAAGGCCCACAAAUCAACAGCGUCCCAUUCUGCACACGUCCGGAGGUAAAUUACUGCUACAUGACUCAUGUUCUCAGGGGCAAGGAGACACUUUCCAAGGCAGGGCCCCCCACCCCUGCCAGGGGCCCCAUCGCCAAAUAAGAGAAAACAGGUACCGACUUCUGAGACCUCAGAGCAAAGCCUUCGGGGGCCCCCCGCACGGAGCCAAAAGAAACUUUAAUAAGAUCUUUCAGGAAGGAAAAUGCACACGUCUGCAUGGAGCACUCUUCCAAUGUCUUCGGAAAACUAUCUUCUCAGCCUCCUCAAGCCCCAGGCGGUAAGCAGAUAAAGGAAGUCACACAGCUAUUGAUUUUCUCAGCCAGUUCUAAAGUGUCACCACAUAAAGGAACACAGACUGUCCCCGGGAGAAGUUGUCACGACUGAACACCAAGGCUGUUCCUCACCUACUUUUUAGCAGGCAGUUGAUUGUGUGACCAUCCUGGCAAACUCUGAUGCACCCAUCAAAGCCCAGUCCAAAUGACCUCUCUCUUUGCAGCUGCCGCCCAUGCAGGAAGGUCCCGCCUGUUGUGCCCGGGGGCCUUCAGAAGGCUGGGCACAUGUGCCCGCUUUGUCUCCUGACCUUCCACUCGUCUGCGAGCUCCCAGGCACAA